rnacentral:rRNA from 1 species
AUUAGCCAUGCAUGUCUCAGUGCAAGCCGUAUUAAGGCGAUACCGCGAAUGGCUCAAUAUAUCAGUUUUGGUUCCUUAGAUCUUACUCAGUUACUUGGAUAACUGUGGUAAUUCUAGAGCUAAUACAUGCAAUCAGAACUCUGACCAGUGAUGGGAUGAGUGCUUUUAUUAGAUCAAAACCAAUCGGCGGAGGGCCUAGCGUCCGAAGUCGUUAAUUUUGAUGAAUCUGGAUAACUUUUGCCGAUCGCAUGGUCCAGUACCGGCGACGCAUCUUUCAAAUGUCUGCCUUAUCAACUUUCGAUGGUAGUUUCUGCGACUACCAUGGUUGUCACGGGUAACGGGGAAUCAGGGUUCGAUUCCGGAGAGGGAGCCUGAGAAACGGCUACCACAUCCAAGGAAGGCAGCAGGCGCGCAAAUUACCCACUCCCGGCACGGGGAGGUAGUGACGAAAAAUAACGAUACGGGACUCUUACGAGGCCUCGUAAUCGGAAUGAGUACACUUUAAAUAUUUUAACGAGGAACAAUUGGAGGGCAAGUCUGGUGCCAGCAGCCGCGGUAAUUCCAGCUCCAAUAGCGUAUACUAAAAUUGUUGCGGUUAAAAAGCUCGUAGUUGCAUUUGUGCGCCGCGCUGUCGGUGCACCGCAUCCGCGGUGAUACUGACACGUCUGCGGAGCAUAUCGUCGGUGAGCCGGCGGUAAAACGCCGGUUCAAUAUCAAAAUCCUAUCGCGGUGCUCUUCGGUGAGUGUCGAGGUGGGCCGACAAUUUUACUUUGAACAAAUUAGAGUGCUCAAAGCGGGCUCAAAAUGCCGCUUGAAUAUUUCGUGCAUGGAAAUAAUAGAAUAUGAUCUCGGGUUCUAUUUUGUUGGGUUUUCAGAACUCCGAGGUAAUGAUUAAAUAGGAUAACUGGGGGGCAUUCGUAUUGCGACGUUAGAGGUGAAAUUCUUGG